CCGCGACUCCGCGGUGGAACCCCGUCCCGCUGCGGUACAUGCCGGCUGCCGCAAGCACAGGGGGCGACCGGGCGCUCGAAUGUGCUGCGGCUGCGGCGGCUGCCUGACGCUAGGACGAGGAGUCUGCAGUCAGAGCGCCAGCCUCCUGCCGCGGCCCACCUGCCCCGCGGCCCGCACAGCCAAUGUCAGCGCAGCGCGCCGGCCGCCGCGGGGCCCGCACCCGCAGCCUCGCGGGAUCGCCGGGCGUUCAGCCAGCCUCAGCUGUCCAUCUACGCACGAGCCAGCCAAUCCCGCGCCACUGCCCCGGCCGCACCUCCCGGAGCCUAUGACGGGCGUAAGAGCCAGCCCAUGAGAUUGGGGCCUCUGUGGCCUGGGCUGGGAGCGGGAGCCAAUGAGCGUCAUUCCA
rnacentral:lncRNA from 1 species